AGUGAACGCUGGCGGUAGGCCUAACACAUGCAAGUCGAACGGCAGCACAGUAAGAGCUUGCUCUUACGGGUGGCGAGUGGCGGACGGGUGAGGAAUACAUCGGAAUCUACUUUUUCGUGGGGGAUAACGUAGGGAAACUUACGCUAAUACCGCAUACGACCUACGGGUGAAAGCAGGGGAUCUUCGGACCUUGCGCGAUUGAAUGAGCCGAUGUCGGAUUAGCCAGUUGGCGGGGUAAAGGCCCACCAAGGCGACGAUCCGUAGCUGGUCUGAGAGGAUGAUCAGCCACACUGGAACUGAGACACGGUCCAGACUCCUACGGGAGGCAGCAGUGGGGAAUAUUGGACAAUGGGCGCAAGCCUGAUCCAGCCAUACCGCGUGGGUGAAGAAGGCCUUCGGGUUGUAAAGCCCUUUUGUUGGGAAAGAAAAGCAGCAGGUUAAUACCCCGCUGUUCUGACGGGACCCAAAGAAUAAGCACCGGCUAACUUCGU
rnacentral:rRNA from 1 species